CCUACGGGGGGCAGCAGUGGGGAAUAUUGGACAAUGGGGGGAACCCUGAUCCAGCCAUGCCGCGUGUGUGAAGAAGGCCCUCGGGUUGUAAAGCACUUUCAGUGAGGAAGAACGCCUGUGGUUAAUACCCAUCAGGAAAGACAUCACUCACAGAAGAAGCCCCGGCUAACUCCGUGCCAGCAGCCGCGGUAAUACGGAGGGUGCGAGCGUUAAUCGGAAUUACUGGGCGUAAAGCGCGCGUAGGUGGCUUGAUAAGCCGGUUGUGAAAGCCCCGGGCUCAACCUGGGAACGGCAUCCGGAACUGUCAAGCUAGAGUGCAGGAGAGGAAGGUAGAAUUCCCGGUGUAGCGGUGAAAUGCGUAGAGAUCGGGAGGAAUACCAGUGGCGAAGGCGGCCUUCUGGACUGACACUGACACUGAGGUGCGAAAGCGUGGGUAGCAAACAGGAUUAGAUACCCCAGUAGUC
rnacentral:rRNA from 1 species